rnacentral:tRNA from 1 species
GUGGAGCAGUCUGGUAGCUCGUCGGGCUCAUAACCCGAAGGUCGUUGGUUCAAAUCCAGCC